AUGGUGGGUAUGAGUUUACUAGUGACUGAUGAGGAGACUUUGGCUCUUAUUACACGUGACGAACACGGUGGAGACGAUUCUGAUCAUGACACGCAAUACAUGGCUCCUGAAGAUGCUGACAGGUAUGAAUGUUUAGUUGCUCAACGUGUUUUGAGUGUGCAGCUUACACAAGCUGAGCAAAAUCAGAGGCAUAAUUUGUUCCAUACAAAGGGAGUUGUGAAGGAACGUUCUGUUCGUGUGAUCAUAGAUGGAGGGAGCUGCAAUAACUUGGCUAGCAUGGAGAUGGUGGAGAAGCUAUCUCUCACCACAAGACCACAUCCACAUCCUUACUACAUCCAAUGGUUCAACAACAGCGGCAAGGUUAAGGUAACACGUACUGUUCAUGUGCAUUUUAGUAUCUCUACAUAUGCUGAUUAUGUUGAUUGUGAUGUGGUACCUAUGCAAGCAUGUUCCUUAUUACUUGGUAGACCAUGGCAAUUUGAUAAAAAUUAUGUACACCAUGGUAGAAACAAUCAGUAUACUCUUGUUCAUAACGAUAAAAAUAUUACUUUGCUUCCUAUGACUCCUGAUUCCAUUUUGAAAGAUGAUAUUAAUAGAGCUAAUAAAGCAAAACAGGAGACAAAUAAGAGUGAAAAUCAGAUUGUGGCAAAAGAAUUUGAGCACCAAAUGAAGUCUAAUAAUAAACCAUCUACUGUUGUUUCUCAAAUUAAAUUGAAAAGUGCAUGUUUACUUGCCACCAAAUCUGAUAUUGAUGAGCUAGAUUUCAGCAAAUCUGUUUGCUAUGCCUUUGUGUGCAAAGAGGCAUUAUUUUCAUUCAAGGACGUGCCUUCCUCUUUGCCCCCUGCUGUCACUAACAUUUUGCAGGAGUUCGCUGACGUCUUUCCACAAGACGUGCCACCGGGAUUACCACCUAUUCGAGGGAUUGAGCAUCAAAUUGACUUAAUUCCCGGUGCUUCGCUACCCAACCGUGCACCAUACCGUACAAAUCCAGAGGAGACGAAGGAGAUUAUGCGUCAAGUACAAGAACUGCUUGACAAAGGUUAUAUACGCGAAUCCCUUAGUCCUUGUGCUGUUCCUAUAAUUUUAGUGCCGAAAAAGGAUGGUACGUCGCGUAUGUGCGUUGAUUGUAGAGGCAUAAAUAAUAUUACUAUUCGUUAUCGUCAUCCUAUUCCUAGGCUCGAUGAUAUGCUUGAUGAAUUGAGUGGCUCUACAAUAUUCUCCAAAGUUGAUUUGCAUAGUGGAUACCAUCAAAUUCGUAUGAAAUUGGGAGAUGAAUGGAAAACAGCAUUUAAAACUAAGUUUGGAUUAUAUGAGUGGUUAGUCAUGCCUUUUGGGUUAACUAAUGCACCUAGUACUUUCAUGAGGUUAAUGAACGAAGUUUUACGUGCUUUCAUUGGACGAUUUGUGGUAGUUUACUUUGAUGACAUAUUGAUUUAUAGCAAAUCUUUGGAGGAACAUUUGGAACAUUUACGUGAUGUUUUUAUUGCUCUACGUGAUGCACGUUUGUUGGAAACCUUGGAAAGUGCACCUUUUGCACCGACCGAGUAUCUUUUCUUGGCUAUGUUGUUACUCCACAGGGAAUUGAAGUUGAUAAAGCCAAGAUUGAAGCUAUUGAGAGUUGGCCGCAGCCCAAAAUGGUCACACAAGUGA
rnacentral:rRNA from 1 species